ACGCACGCUGGCGGCGUGCUUCACCCCUGCAAGUCGCACGGAAAGGCCCUGCUUUUGUGGGGUGCUCGAGUGGCGAACGGGUGAGUAACACGUGAGUAACCUGCCCUUGACUUUGGGAUAACUUCAGGAAACUGGGGCUAAUACCGGAUAGGAGCUCCUGCUGCAUGGUGGGGGUUGGAAAGUUUCGGCGGUUGGGGAUGGACUCGCGGCUUAUCAGCUUGUUGGUGGGGUAGUGGCUUACCAAGGCUUUGACGGGUAGCCGGCCUGAGAGGGUGACCAGCCACAUUGGGACUGAGAUACGGCCCAGACUCCUACGGGAGGCAGCAGUGGGGAAUAUUGCACAAUGGGCGGAAGCCUGAUGCAGCAACGCCGCGUGCGGGAUGACGGCCUUCGGGUUGUAAACCGCUUUCGCCUGUGACGAAGCGUGAGUGACGGUAAUGGGUAAAGAAGCACCGGCUAACUACGUG
rnacentral:rRNA from 1 species